CUACAAUGAAUGCAGUUAUGCCUGGUCCUCCAUCAGCUUGCUAGUAGAUAUGGUAAUCCUUCUCAUUCAGAAAUCAGAAUGUGGUCUACAUAUACAUAUAUAGCACUCCAGUCCCUCGGCCUGAGCCCACCAAAGUAUACAGAGGCAGUGGUUUAAAUUCAACUUAAGCAGGAGAACAACUCUCUUAACUCUAUUUUCCAUGUCUUCAUUACUCAGACAAAUGAAAAUUCAAAAUCAAACUUCUUUGGGCUGCAAAAUUCUUUCAACUUUGAAGUUUGUAACCAAACUUUGAGAACAGAAAAGCAUCACAAGGUGAUAGAAAAAUAUAUGGUGUAUAGUCUGGUGAAGUGUGGUGCAGAUCGGUUUGGCGGGGAAAGGGGGGGGACACAACAAUGCACUCAGCUCAGUUCUUCGGAGGUGCUCAUAAGAAAAGGUUUGUGUAUGUGUGUCUAGGGGUGAGUGUGCGUGCGUUGUAAGUGUCUACGCUGUAUUGUAUAAUUCUUAAAAAGUAAAAAAAAACA
rnacentral:lncRNA from 1 species